rnacentral:rRNA from 1 species
UACGGAGGGUGCAAGCGUUCUCCGGGUUUACUGGGUUUAAAGGGUGCGUAGGCGGACUUUUAAGUCAGUGGUGAAAUCCCCGAGCUUAACUCGGAAACUGCCAUUGAUACUAUUAGUCUUGAAUUCGGUCGAGGUUGGCGGAAUGUGUCGUGUAGCGGUGAAAUGCUUAGAUAUGACACAGAACACCGAUUGCGAAGGCAGCUAGCUAGACCGACAUUGACGCUGAGGCACGAAAGCGUGGGGAUCAAACAGG